rnacentral:rRNA from 1 species
GAUGAACGCUGGCGGCGUGCCUAAUACAUGCAAGUCGAGCGAACGGACGAGAAGCUUGCUUCUCUGAUGUUAGCGGCGGACGGGUGAGUAACACGUGGAUAACCUACCUAUAAGACUGGGAUAACUUCGGGAAACCGUAGCUAAUACCGGAUAAUAUUUUGAACCGCAUGGUUCAAAAGUGAAAGACGGUCUUGCUGUCACUUAUAGAUGGAUCCGCGCUGCAUUAGCUAGUUGGUAAGGUAACGGCUUACCAAGGCAACGAUGCAUAGCCGACCUGAGAGGGUGAUCGGCCACACUGGAACUGAGACACGGUCCAGACUCCUACGGGAGGCAGCAGUAGGGAAUCUUCCGCAAUGGGCGAAAGCCUGACGGAGCAACGCCGCGUGAGUGAUGAAGGUCUUCGGAUCGUAAAACUCUGUUAUUAGGGAAGAACAUAUGUGUAAGUAACUGUGCACAUCUUGACGGUACCUAAUCAGAAAGCCACGGCUAACUGCGUG